rnacentral:rRNA from 1 species
CCAAAGCUGGCGACCGGCGCACGGGUGAGUAACACGUAUCCAACCUGCCGAUAACUCCGGAAUAGCCUUUCGAAAGAAAGAUUAAUACCGGAUGGCAUACGAAUAUCGCAUGAUAUUUUUAUUUAAAGAAUUUCGGUUAUCGAUGGGGAUGCGUUCCAUUAGUUUGUUGGCGGGGUAACGGCCCACCAAGACUACGAUGGAUAGGGGUUCUGAGAGGAAGGUCCCCCACAUUGGAACUGAGACACGGUCCAAACUCCUACGGGAGGCAGCAUG